GCUCUGGUGGCCUAGUGGUUAGAGCAUCCGCCUUGGAUGUGGGAGGUUGUGAGUUCAAUCCAUGGCAGAGUCA